GGGGCAUCGGGAGCUUUACAUGCAAGUCGAACGGCAGCGCGAGAGAGCUUGCUCUCUUGGCGGCGAGUGGCGGAACGCCGGUGAGUUUUAAUAUUUUGGGACGUGCCCCCCCAGUAGCGGGGGGAUAAUUUCUUGAAAGAGUGGGUUAUUCCGCGUUCGGCCCUCCGGGGGAAAAGGGGGGGUUCGCAAGACCCUCUCACUAUUUGGAGGGGCCGAUAUUGGGUUAAGUUUUUUGGUGGGGUAAAGGCCUCCACCAAGGGAACGAUUCCUUAGUUGUUUUGAGGGGAGGACCAGCCCACCCUGGGACUGGGAACACGGGCCCCGAUUCUUAGGGGAGGCAGCAGUGGGGAAUUUUGGACAAUGGGGGAAACCCUGGUUCCAGCCUUCCCGCGUGUUUGAUGAAGGCCUUCGGGUUGUAAAGUACUUUUGGCAGAGAAGAAAAGGUAUCCCCUAAUACGGGAUACUGCUGACGGUAUCUGCAGAAUAAGCACCGGCUAACUACGUGCCAGCAGCCGCGGUAAUACGUAGGGUGCAAGCGUUAAUCGGAAUUACUGGGCGUAAAGCGUGUGUAGGCGGUUCGGAAAGAAAGAUGUGAAAUCCCAGGGCUCAACCUUGGAACUGCAUUUUUAACUGCCGAGCUAGAGUAUGUCAGAGGGGGGUAGAAUUCCACGUGUAGCAGUGAAAUGCGUAGAUAUGUGGAGGAAUACCGAUGGCGAAGGCAGCCCCCUGGGAUAAUACUGACGCUCAGACACGAAAGCGUGGGGAGCAAACAGGAUUAGAUACCCUGGUAGUCCACGCCCUAAACGAUGUCAACUAGCUGUUGGGGCCGUUAGGCCUUAUUAGCGCAGCUAACGCGUGAAGUUGACCGCCUGGGGAGUACGGUCGCAAGAUUAAAACUCAGAGGAAUUGACGGGGAACCCGCACAAGCGGUGGAUGAUGUGGAUUAAUUCGAUGCAACGCGAAAAACCUUACCUACCCUUGACAUGUCUGGAAAGCCGAAGAGAUUUGGCCGUGCUCGCAAGAGAACCGGAACACAGGUGCUGCAUGGCUGUCGUCAGCUCGUGUCGUGAGAUGUUGGGUUAAGUCCCGCAACGAGCGCAACCCUUGUCAUUAGUUGCUACGCAAGAGCACUCUAAUGAGACUGCCGGUGACAAACCGGAGGAAGGUGGGGAUGACGUCAAGUCCUCAUGGCCCUUAUGGGUAGGGCUUCACACGUCAUACAAUGGUCGGGACAGAGGGUCGCCAACCCGCGAGGGGGAGCCAAUCUCAGAAACCCGAUCGUAGUCCGGAUCGCAGUCUGCAACUCGACUGCGUGAAGUCGGAAUCGCUAGUAAUCGCGGAUCAGAAUGUCGCGGUGAAUACGUUCCCGGGUCUUGUACACACCGCCCGUCACACCAUGGGAGUGGGUUUCACCAGAAGUAGGUAGCCUAACCGUAAGGAGGGCGCUUACCACGGUGGGAUUCAUGACUGGGGUGAAGUCGAACCAGGAGCCGCCCC
rnacentral:rRNA from 1 species